UACGGGGGGGGCAAGCGUUGUUCGGAAUUACUGGGCGUAAAGGGCUCGUAGGCGGCCAACUAAGUCGGAUGUGAAAUCCCCAGGCUCAACUUGGGAACUGCAUCCGAUACUGGAUGGCUUGAAUUCGGGAGAGGGAUGCAGAAUUCCAGGUGUAGCGGUGAAAUGCGCAGAUAUCGGGAGGAACACCGGUGGCGAAGGCGGUUCUCUGGGCCUGUACUGACGCUGAGGAGCGAAAGCGUGGGGAGCGAACAGG
rnacentral:rRNA from 1 species